rnacentral:misc_RNA from 1 species
CAGAGUUGAAAAACUCCCUAAACCAUCGCGAACGUUACCCUUAACCGUUGCUUCGGCGGGUGGUUCACAAAACCCCCUUGGCCCCCCUUUCGCGGGGAGGGCGCCCGCCGGAGGUCACGUUUUAAACUCUUGAUACCUGUACGGCCUCUCUGAGUAUUCUGUACUGAAUUAAGUCA